GCAUCAGGAUGAGGGAAGGGCAAUGAAUGUUCUCUGUACAGUUGCAUGUUGCAUCAUCAGGAUUUCUUUUGAUAC